AAGCUCGUAGUUGAAUUUCGGAUCUGGCGGGAUGGUCCGCCUUACGGUGUGUACUGUCCGGCCGGAUCUUACCUCUUGGUGAAGCCGUAUGCCCUUUACUGGGUGUGCGGUGGAACCAGGAAUUUUACUUUGAGAAAAUUAGAGUGUUCAAAGCAGGCAUACGCCCGAAUACAUUAGCAUGGAAUAAUAGAAUAGGACGUGCGGUUCUAUUUUGUUGGUUUCUAGGAUCGCCGUAAUGAUUAAUAGGGAUAGUUGGG
rnacentral:rRNA from 1 species